rnacentral:rRNA from 1 species
UUAGUCUUUUAAUUGGGGACUGGAAUGAAAGAGUAAACUGAGGGAAAGUUUUUUUACUUAGAAAAAUGAAGUAAACUUUUUAGUAAAAAGGCUAAAAUAAUUCUUGAAGACGAGAAGACCCUAUAAAACUUUAUACUUUUUUUCUUUAGUUUGAAAGGAAAGUAUUUUACUGGGGCGGUAGAGAAAAGAAGCUUUCUUUAAUUAUUAAAACAUUUUUUGUUUUUAUAACCAAGAAUUUUGAAAAAUGAAUAAGUUACUUUAGGGAUAACAGCUUAAUUCUUCUUGAAAGUUCAAAUUGACAGAAGAGUUUGAGACCUCGAUGUUGAAUUAAAAAAUCUUGAAGUGCAAAAG